AUACAGGUGGCAGGGGAUCUGAGAGCUGCCUGUGGAUAUCACACUGGACUGGGUAUAAAAUAGUGACGGAUUUUACAGGAAGCUGGCUCAAGAAAUCUGACAGGGUGAGAAUAUGGCAGGAGAGAGAUGAAAUGGCAUACCUGUCAACAGUCCUGAAUUUCCCUGGACCUUUUUGGGCAUAAAUAUACUGCUUAUGGACAGUGCAUUACACUGUGCACAAGCAGCAUUGUGUUUUAACUGUGUAUGUCUAAGACACACAUAGCCUUAAUGCUUGUAAAUGAGCUCCAAACUACCCAGUAUCUGUUCUGAGUAGCCUAAAGCUCAAUGCUGCAGGAAAAUGUUGGGGAGUAUUAUAAUGGUGAGAUUUAAAACAUUGGGGAGAUGUAAUGGCGUGAGUUAAACCAAGUCAAAGCAAGGAGGAUUUUCCUAAAGAAAAAUGAUAGUGGAAGACAUAAGGA